UACGUAGGGCGCAAGCGUUGUCCGGAAUUAUUGGGCGUAAAGAGCUCGUAGGCGGUCUGUUACGUCCGCUGUGAAAACCCAGGGCUUAACCCUGGGCUUGCAGUGGAUACGGGCAGACUAGAGGCAGGUAGGGGAGAAUGGAAUUCCCGGUGUAGCGGUGAAAUGCGCAGAUAUCAGGAGGAACACCGGUGGCGAAGGCGGGUCUCUGGGCCGUUACUGACGCUGAGGAGCGAAAGCGUGGGGAGCGAACAGG
rnacentral:rRNA from 1 species